AGAAAGCUUUCCAGCAUGGGGGA
rnacentral:piRNA from 1 species